CUACGGGAUGCAGCAGUGAGGAAUAUUGCACAAUGGGGGGAACCCUGAUGCAGCAACGCCGCGUGGAGGAUGACGCAUUUCGGUGUGUAAACUCCUUUUAUAUAUCAAGAAAAUGACGGUAGCAUAUGAAUAAGCACCGGCUAACUCCGUGCCAGCAGCCGCGGUAAUACGGAGGGUGCAAGCGUUACUCGGAAUCACUGGGCGUAAAGGACGCGUAGGCGGGUUGGAAAGUCAGGUGUGAAAUCCUACAGCUUAACUGUAGAACUGCACUUGAAACUUCUAAUCUAGAGUAUGGGAGGGGGAGAUGGAAUUAGUGGUGUAGGGGUAAUAUCCGUAGAUAUCACUAGGAAUACCUAAAGCGAAGGCGAUCUCCUGGAACAUUACUGACGCUAAGGCGUGAAAGCGUGGGGAGCAAACAGGAUUAGAUACCCGCGUAGUC
rnacentral:rRNA from 1 species